rnacentral:rRNA from 1 species
GCUGGGGGGAUUAGUGGCGAACGGGUGAGUAACACGUGAGUAACCUGCCCUUAACUCUGGGAUAAGCCUGGGAAACUGGGUCUAAUACCGGAUAUGACUGAUCAUCGCAUGGUGGUUGGUGGAAAGCUUUUUGUGGUUUUGGAUGGACUCGCGGCCUAUCAGCUUGUUGGUGAGGUAAUGGCUUACCAAGGCGACGACGGGUAGCCGGCCUGAGAGGGUGACCGGCCACACUGGGACUGAGACACGGCCCAGACUCCUACGGGAGGCAGCAGUGGGGAAUAUUGCACAAUGGGCGCAAGCCUGAUGCAGCGACGCCGCGUGAGGGAUGACGGCCUUCGGGUUGUAAACCUCUUUCAGUAGGGAAGAAGCGAAAGUGACGGUACCUGCAGAAGAAGCGCCGGCUAACUACGUGCCAGCAGCCGCGGUAAUACGUAGGGCGCAAGCGUUAUCCGGAAUUAUUGGGCGUAAAGAGCUCGUAGGCGGUUUGUCGCGUCUGCCGUGAAAGUCCGGGGCUCAACUCCGGAUCUGCGGUGGGUACGGGCAGACUAGAGUGAUGUAGGGGAGACUGGAAUUCCUGGUGUAGCGGUGAAAUGCGCAGAUAUCAGGAGGAACACCGAUGGCGAAGGCAGGUCUCUGGGCAUUAACUGACGCUGAGGAGCGAAAGCAUGGGGAGCGAACAGGAUUAGAUACCCUGGUAGUCCAUGCCGUAAACGUUGGGCACUAGGUGUGGGGGACAUUCCACGUUUUCCGCGCCGUAGCUAACGCAUUAAGUG